UAGGGAAUCUUCCACAAUGGACGAAAGCCUGAUGGAGCAACGCCGCGUGAGUGAAGAAGGAUUUCGGUUCGUAAAACUCUGUUGUAAGGGAAGAACAAGUAGCGUAGUAACUGGCGCUACCUUGACGGUACCUUAUUAGAAAGCCACGGCUAACUACGUGCCAGCAGCCGCGGUAAUACGUAGGUGGCAAGCGUUGUCCGGAAUUAUUGGGCGUAAAGCGCGCGCAGGUGGUUUCUUAAGUCUGAUGUGAAAGCCCACGGCUCAACCGUGGAGGGUCAUUGGAAACUGGGGAACUUGAGUGCAGAAGAGGAUAGUGGAAUUCCAAGUGUAGCGGUGAAAUGCGUAGAGAUUUGGAGGAACACCAGUGGCGAAGGCGACUAUCUGGUCUGUAACUGACACUGAGGCGCGAAAGCGUGGGGAGCAAACAGGAUUAGAUACCCCCGUAGUCC
rnacentral:rRNA from 1 species